ACGUGAGAUAACGGCCCAAAGAGUCGGGUAAAGCGUCUUCUCUUUUUCGGCGGAAUUUUUAAAGAGGGAUGUGGUUACCUUGAGCAGAAAUACCCAAGGCGGCCUGGGCCAUAGGCUGCGGGAACGACUUGGGGGUAAAAGCGCGGCACCGACACCAGCUGUGUGCAGCAGUGGCGGCGGCGGCCGAAGGAGAAAUAGAACAGCGCAGGCAAAAGAAGAAAGGCGCGGGCUGGGUGGGAAGAGGAUUCGGACUCGUCACACUGCAGAGCAGCAGAGCGAGAAAGGAUGAGAAGAGGCAGAGAAGGCGACGGCAGAAGAAAAAAGGAAAAACUGCGGCCGCGAUCAGAGCCUGAAAGUAUGCCUCAGCACUAAUGAUCAUGAUCAGAGACCCCGAGUUCUCUCGUGCUGCUACGCUUCGCAACACAUAGCACAAAUGGAAUAUGUGUUGACACACCCCUCUGAAGUUAAGAUCUUUGAUAUUAAGACCCUGACUUUUUUCCCUUUCAUUCUUCCGAACCCUCUGUGUACUUUGAGCAGCACUGUGGUUGAUUAAUAAAUCAUCAAAUGUGAAAGGAAGAAAGCGACCUUCCUGUGUGGAAAAGCAGGGUAUCUUGCGAGGCUGUAUGAGAGAGUAUUCGGUAGAAUCAGGAGCUGUGGACGCAUUCCUGAUUUUGUUUUUCCUUAUUUUGCUCGGCUAUAUCUUGGCUCUGUCUUUUAUUUCUUCAAAGUUCUGUUCUAUUCAGAACAUUUGAAAACACAGCCAUUCACUAGACCCUCUCUGGUGGAGGAAGAAAAACUAGAGAUGAAUACAAUAUUUGAAACCUUGCUUACAAUCUAGCAGGGGAAAUAAGACAGCAAUACAAAAUAAAUUGUUGGCUGAUACAAAUAAAAUGCUGCAAGGACCAAGUGGAGGGAAGAGAUGAUUGCAGCUAAGUGAGAGAAAGGCUGCUGGGGAAAGGUAAAGAGUGAUUUUGAGAAAAGCCUUUCUAGACAAAGGUGCUUCCUUUUUCACCAAACUCGCCUGUUUGGUGAUUUUGAGAGUAGAUGUUCCAGUGUUCCAGGCAAGGGAAACGGAUGAGAGAAGGCACAGAAGUGGGUGGGUUUAGAGAAUUGUGAAUAGCCUUUCUGGUUCCAGCAUAGGGGCAUGGUUGCAAAUGAGAUUGAAACGGUAGAUUAGGGUGACAUCAAGAAGACAUUGGAGGCUGGGCGCAGUGGCUUACACCUGUAUUCCCAGCACUUUGGGAGGCCGAGGAGGGCGGAUUACCUGAGGUCGGGAAUUCGAGACCAGCCUGACCAACAUGGAGAAAACCCGGCUCUACUAAAACUACAAAAUUAGCUGGGCAUGGUGGCACAUGGCUGUAAUCCAGCUACUCAGGAAGCUGAGGCAGGAGAAUCUCUAGAACCUGGGAGGCGGAAGUUGCAGUGAGCCGAGAUCACACCAUUGCACUCUCCAGUCUGGGCAACAAGAGUGAAACUGCGUCUCAAAAAAAAAAAAAAAAACAAAACAAAAAAUUGGAACUUGGACUUUAUUCUGGAACCAUAUAAACAGGAACAUGAUAUGCUCAAAAAUAUGUUUUUUAAAAGAUUACUCCAGCACCAGUGGGUGGGAUUGAAAAGAGGUAGAAAGUUUGGAAGUGAAGGAAACUCUUACAGCAGUUUUCUGGGGUCUUUUGGUUUACUUAUUUAUUUAUUUUAGUACUAAGGGGGCCGGGCGUGGUUGCUCACUUGGUGGCCUAGUGAUGGUGUGGUGGCCUAGCACUUUGGGAGGCUGAGGCGGACGGAUCACUUGAGGCCAGUAGUUUGAAACCAGUCUGCCCAACAUAGCAAAACCCUGUCUCUGCUAAAACUACAAAAAUUAACCAGGCGUGCUGGUACACGCAUGUAGUCCCAGCUACUUGGGAGGCGGUGGCAGGAGAAUUGCUUGAACCCGGGAGGCAGAGGUUGCAGUGAGCUGAGAUCGCACCACUGCACUCCAGCCUGUGCAACAGAGAUGUACUUUGUCUCAAAUAAUAAUAAUAAUAAUGAAAGUACUAAGGGGAUUCAGAAUGGAUGGGAGGGAAAACGCACAGAGAGAGUAGAGAUAAUCUUGACUUUCAAAGGAGAUGAGAAGGUGUCAAGUGAUUUGGGGAUAUUAAGCUUAUCAACAGGGAGAAUUCUGGAGCCAUAAACAGAGAUAGAAAUAGAAGGACCCUGCCAGGAGCAGUGGCUCACGCCUGUAAUCCCAGCACUUUGGGAGGCUGAGGCAGGCGGGUCACGAAGUCAAGAGAUCAAGACCACCCUGGCCAACAUGACGAAACCCCGUCUCUACUAAAAAUACAAAAAUUAGCUGGGCAUGGUGGCAUGUGCCCUGUAGUCCCAGCUACUUGGGAGGCUGAGGCAGGAGAAUGGCAUGAACCUGGGAGGCGUAGCUUGCAGUGAGCCGAGAUGGUGCCACUGCACUCCAGCCUGG
rnacentral:lncRNA from 1 species